UGAGUACGAGACGCUAAGGCGUCGAAGUAGUGGAUGUCAUACUUCCAAGAAAAGCUUGCACUGUCAUAAAUAGGAAACGCCUGUACCAUAACCGACACAGGUGGGUAGGUAGAGUAUACUAAGGGGCGCGAGAUAACUCUCUCUAAGGAACUCGGCAAAAUCACUCCGUAACUUCGGGAGAAGGAGUGCCUUAUUCGUAAGGCUGCAAUAACAAGAUCCAAGCAACUGUUUAUCAAAAACACAGGUCUCCGCUAAGUCGUAAGACGAUGUAUGGGGGCUGACGCCUGCCCAGUGCCAGAAGGUUAAAGAAGUCGGUUAGCAUUAGCGAAGCUGGUAACUGAAGCCCUGGUGAACGGCGGCCGUAACGAUAACGGUCCUAAGGUAGCGAAAUUCCUUGUCGGGUAAGCUCCGACCCGCACGAAGGGCGUAAUGAUUUGGAUACUGUCUCGGAGAGGGGCUCGGUGAAAUAGACUUGUCUGUGAAGAUGCGGACUACCUGCACCAGGACAGAAAGACCCUAUGAAGCUUUACUGUAACUUGAAAUUGAAAUUGGACUUUAUUCGCGCAGUAUAGGUGGGAGGUGUUGAUUAUAAUCUUGCGGGAUUAUUGGAGCCAUCAGUGAGAUACCACUCUUGUAAUGUUAGAUUUCUAACUUUGAAUCAUUAUCUGGUCAAAGAACAGUUUCAGGCGGGCAGUUUGACUGGGGCGGUCGCCUCCUAAAUGGUAACGGAGGCGUACAAAGGUUUCCUCUGAACGGGUAGAAAUCGUAUCUAGAGUGUAAAGGCAUAAGGAAGCUUGACUGUGAGACCUACAAGUCGAGCAGGGACGAAAGUCGGUCUUAGUGAUCUGACGGUACUGAGUGGAAAGGCCGUCACUCAACGGAUAAAAGUUACUCUAAGGAUAACAGGCUGAUCUCCCCCAAGAGUUCACAUCGACGGGGAGGUUUGGCACCUCGAUGUCGGCUCAUCGCAUCCUGGGGCGGUAGUACGUCCCAAGGGUUGGGCUGUUCACCCAUGAAAGCGGUACGCGAGCUGGGUUCAGAACGUCGUGAGACAGUUCGGUCCAUAUCCGGUGUAGGCGUUAGAAUAUUGAGGGGAGCCUUCUUUAGUACGAGAGGACCGAGAAGGACAUACCUCUGGUGUACCAGUUAUCGUGCCAACGGUAAACGCUGGGUAGCUAUGUAUGGAGUGGAUAACCGCUGAAAGCAUCUAAGUGGGAAGCCCACCUCAAGAUAAGUAUUCUC
rnacentral:rRNA from 1 species